UGUUGGGCCGAAGGGCCUGUUUCCCACUGUAGGGGUUCUAUUGAACAAAUGUUCAGCAUAGACAAGUUGGACUGAAAGAUCUGUUUCCGUGCUGUAUGCCUCCGAGUCUAAGAGCAUUUUUGCUCUGACCCCAGAUUUCUCACCAUAGCUCACAUUGUUAAAACCCCAUAUAAGAUUCUGCCUUGAGAGUUGGAAGUUUAUGGAUUGUUCUCCUGAAAUAGGGCCUAGCAACCUACAUAUGAGUCACCAGUGGUAGGGAAAAGGAAGUGAGGGAUGCACAAAAGUCCAGCAUUAGAAGAACAGUUGUUGUAGGAUUAUUCUAGACUAGAGAAGAUUACAGAGAAAGGGAGGAGAAAGAUCAUGGGGGGAGAACUAGAUGGCAGUGGUUGAGGAGCUAAUAUGCCAAUGAACAGAGGUAAUGGGUGAACUGAACUGAUCAUAUUGGGGUUUAGGAGAUAAGCAAUUGUUCUCGAUAGGAUAAAGCAUAUGGAAGGUGGUGCAUUGCUUAGACAGCAAUGGAGUAGUCAUGCCAGCAGCUUAACAAAAACGUUAAGGGUUUUAGUAAAAGGAGGCUUGAGGUGGGGGGAGAUAUCGUCAAUACUAUAGAUACAGAAAUUUGGUAGGAUAAUGUUAAAGUUUAAGGCUUACCUCGCCGUUAGCAACAAUCUCCUGCAUCUUUUAACUUGAUACUAGAACUAAGGUGAGAUUCUCACUAGGCACCAGUGAGUUGCCUUUUAAGGGGCAUUAUUGCUUAGUGACUACCUCCCUUUUUAUUUACUACAGAUCUGACUUCAUUUUAAUAUGCAGCUUUCUAAGCUACCAUGUGCAGCGAGCAAACAACAAAAUGGCAAAAAUCCUUGACCUGGAAGUCAAACUGGGUACCUGACAGCUUCAGCUUGUUACUGGCUUUAACAAUAUCCUUGUUUGUCACCACAAAACAGCAUCACAGGGCACAAUUCAUGGGCACUGGCUACAUGCACCCUCCUCCAUAGACAUUGCAAACUCAAUGAGCAAAUACCAAAGUUUUCAUGGUACCUUUCCAAUUUGGUGCAGCAUGCUAAGGAUGGGAAGACCUGCAUUUAGGAAGAACUGAUAACUGACAUUAAAAGGCUGCCACAAGAUUCUUCAUAUCUCCUGGACAGGCUCCCAGCUCAGAUUGGACCAGCCUUGGUGCAUCUGUACCCCCAAUCACUGCUACAGACAUCAGAUUGGCCUUCUUGAGAAUGAACCCAUGGAAAGCAAUUUGCCUAGAUGGAGUCCAGCUGUGCACUCAGAUCCUGCACAGACAAGCUAGUGGGAGUAUUCAAACAUCUGUAACCAUGGGGUUCCUACCUGCUUCAAGAAGACAAUUUUCUGCCUGGUGCCUGAUUUCUUUUCGACAAUGUGCCUGGUGGCUCUGACGCCUAUCAUUAUGAAAGUUUAGUAAUGGCACACAUCAACUCCAGCCUCCCAGAUUGUCUUGAUUCACUACAGUUUGCUUACCAUUGUCAUAGGUCCACAGCAGAUGCCAUCUCCCUGGCCCUACACUCAUCCCUGGAAUUUCUGGAUAACAGCAAGGAUGCCUACAUCAUAGUUCUAUUUAUAGAUGAGUACCUUCAACACAAUUUCAACCAAACCUAUCUCCAAACUAGGACUUAGGACCCUGCUGUCUUGUCUGCAACUGGAUCCUUGACUUCCUGACCCACAGACUGCAGUCAGUAAGGAUCAGCAACAACACCACCUCCACGAUAAUCCUUUAAAACUCGUGCCUGCAACGUUGCAUACACAACCCCCUCCUAUACUCAGAAUCAAAGAACCCCUACGUUCGGCCCAUCAAGUCCACAGUGACCCUCAAAAGAGCAUCCCACUCAGACUCACUCACCCUCACCCCUGCAUUUCUCAUGGCACAUCUUUUGGACAGUGGAAGGAAAGCAGAGCAACUGGAGGAAAUACAUGCAGAUGUAAAGGUUAUAUAUUUUCCCCACAGACAGUCACUUGAGGCUAGAGUCGAACCUGGGUCCCUGGUGCUGAGGUAGCAGUGUUAACCACUGAGCCACAAAGCCGUGAGUGUAUAAUGUGGCAAAAUUUGUUCUCAUUCCAGUUCCAGUUUUGCUGAUGACAUUGUAGUAGGUGUCAACAGUAGGAGAGUGGCAUAAUGGAAAAACAAUCUCUCACUGAAUAACUUUUCUCGUAACUCAUUUUCUUCAGGUCAGAGGGAUGGCCACGGUUACGUGCAUGGGCUCCAGUUAUGUCUGUCCCUGUGGGGUAUGUGGAGCAUUCCUUCCAGUCCUGUUGCAUUCUGGUCACAAAAGACUGAGCUUCCAGUUGCCUGCCAGUUUAACACACCACUGUUCCUUGACCAACAUUUCAGUCUCAGACUUGCUGCAGUACUCCAGCAAAGCUCAGUGUACGCUGGUAGAAGAGCACCUCACUUUCCAUUUGGGCACCCUGCAGCUUUCCAGACUCAAGUUCAGCAACUUUACAGCUUGAGCUCUCCCAUUUCCCUACUCCAACUUGUGCACACCAGACCUUGUUAUGUCCAUUUACUAUUACACACAAGCCAUUGUUGGACACUAACAGUCCUCAUUUAAUAGCUGUUCACCCUUCCAGCUAUAUCAUCAUGGAAUCCCUACAGUGUGGUAAUAGGCCCUUUGGCCCAACAAGUCCACCCCAACCCUCACAGCAUCCUACCCAGACCCAACCCCCUGUUACCCACCUAAUCUACACAUCCCUGAACACUAUGGGCAAUUUAGCAUAGCCAAUCCACCUAGCCUGCACAUCUUUGGACUGUGGUAGGAAACCGGACCACCCAGAGGAAACCCACUCAAACGUGUGGGAGAAUGUGCGAAGUCGACACAGACGGUUGCCCGAGGCCGGAAUUGAACCCGGGUUACUGGCGCUGUGAGGCAGCAGUGCUAACCUCUGAGCUACUGUGCCGCCAAUUUUGUUAACUACCAUCUGUUCUGACCGAAGGUCACUUGACCCAAAACAUUAAUUUUGAUUUCUGUCCACAGAUGCUGCAAAAGCUGCUGAGCUUAUCCAGCAAUUUCUAUUUGUCUGAUUUCCAGCAGCCACAGUUCUUUCGGUUUCUGUCUUUCCCUUCAUGUCAGCAAAACCAAAGAGCUGGUCAUCUGAUCAAGAAGCAGAGUUGAGGUCAUGCCCCCGUCUGUAUCAAUGGUGCUGAGGUCAAGAUGGUUGCGCGUUCAAGUUCCUAGGAGCAAAUGUCACCAAUCUGUCAUCGUCCAUCCCUGUUGACACCACAGUCAAGAAAGCACACCAAUGUCUCUACAUCCUCAAAGCUAAAGAAAUUUGGUUCAUGGUGAGUGUGAAUGAUAGACCCAUCACAGCAGGAAUUAUUGCCAUAAAAAGAUGGGGGAGAUGGAGGAACUGAGAAGUCAGCAAGUCCUAGACCAGCACUAACUUGCAACAGAAGCCCAACAGCCUUGACCAUCUUGAGAUUGCAGCUAACAGGCUCUCCAGAAUGCAUCAGCAGCAGAGGAGAGCCAGAGCUUUUUGUCUUUGAUACAAUUUCCUCCGAUUGAGCCACAGACUGAGGCUGUCCCAGAACACUGAUUGAAACCAACAGCUGGAGCAGGACCUGUAACCUGAAAGAGUAGGCCAUCAUUCUGUUCUGGUGACCAUCAGAAUGUCGGCUGCAUUGAACUUCUACAUGGCAGGAUCUAUGGGACCUCUUAGUUGUCUAUCCGCAAAUAUAUCAAUGCUGUAACCAAAGACAUUUUUGCCCAUAAUGAGGUUGGUGCUGUGGCCUGAGCAGAACUUUCAGCAAUGUGGCUGGUUUCUCCCAGGAACAUGGCACCAAACACUGUACAGUCAUUGCAUUGAGAAGGCCAUGUUGUAGUGCAGUAGAAUUAUCAAUGGAAAAGAUUCCAUUACCAAUGGGUGACAGGUUUGUGAUCAGAGUUUCCACAACUUGGGUUUGUGUCUUGUACCUUUGUAGCUGCACAUCUUCUACGUCCUUGAAUUCUAGUGUUCCUUCUACACAUGAAGGCUUGGAUGCUUUACAAGGCUGGUUACUGGGGGACAAGGGCCUCCCUCUGCAACGAUGACCUAUGACUGAGGCUGAGUGUAGAUUCAGUGGUCCCCAUUCUUCAACCAGAAUUAUGGGUGGAGCAGAUAAUAGGCCUGCUGACAAGUGUUCUGAUCCCUAAACAAGUGUGGGGCAUUUCAGGAUGCUCCCAUCAAUGUUCUGCAUAUUCUUAGCAUGCUGUGCUGUGCACAACUGGAACAGGUGAAGGGGGAUAUGGCAGAUGCUGAUGAGCUGGAAGAUUGGGUAGAUUCUUCCGAGGAGGAGGAAGCAGAAAGAGCAUGACCUUGUACAUGACAAAGCACAGCUGCAUUAGGCAUUGCAAACCAGACAGGACUGAAUUGAUACCUGGGUGCUAUAGAUGUGACCUGGCUGCAGUGAUUGAUCAUUUGACUGACCUACUGCAAAAUACUUGUUGCUUAACAUUCUAGCAGUUCACUUGUAUGCUAAGAGGGGCAUUAGUUUGAUUUGUUUUGCCUUUCAGCUUUGUAAAGAAAGGUUAAUGUUUUUUACAUCUGUUUUACAGGGUUUUGUUUUUAAACAGAAACAUUGAAGGUAGGAGCAGGAGUAGGCCUUUCAGCCUCUUGAGCCUGCUUCACCAUUCAUUAUGAUCUUGGGUGAUCAGAGUUUCAUAUCCUAAUCCUAUCUACCCACCCCCUGCCCAAUAUCCUUUUGUUCCAUUUAGCCCCAAGAGUUAUAUCUACCUGCUUCUUGAAAACAAUGUUUCAGCCUCAACCAUUUUCUGUGGUAAUGAUUUCCACAGACUCACCACUCUAGGAGAUGUGUCCAGUGUGAACACUGAUAAGAUGAUGGGCUACACUGGCCACUGAGGGGAAAAAAAGAGUAGCAGUAAUUUUGAGAGGCUUGUAAAAUGGGAUGUGGCUACAGACUAGUGAGUCAUGUGGCCUUGUGCUUAAACAGUAAUUGGAGUAGGAUUGUGCAGUAACUGCACACUAGCUGGUGUCCCGUCACCAAGUCACCCUUUAUUUACAUGUGCACAGUACACUGGCUGUAGCCAGCCAACUUUGAGUCAGUCUCUGAAGUCAGGAGAUUCUUUGAAUCCCCUGUUUUAUAUCUGCCUCCUAGGGCUCACGUUAACCACUCCAAACAAGCAUCUCAUAAUCAAUAAGAUCCACCUGGCUCCAACCACCACAGUUGUGCUGUGGGAAGUAUUAGUUUGUGACUAUGUACCGCUACAUUAGUGAAAGGCAACUCCACACUUCCGUGCUUGAUGAAGUAGAUGGCACCACUGCCAGGGAUGCUGGCCUAUUCUGGGAUAUCCCAGCAAUAGUGAUCUUUCAACCAAGGUGAGUGGUAAAAUCCAGCUAGCAGUGGAUGAGUGGAGUGCCAUAAGAAUGGAAUAGGUAGUUAAUGAAAGUGCAAGAAAACCUAUUAAACCUGGCAGAGAGAAACUCUCAAAACUCAACAGUGCACAAUAAGAUCCAGCUUUAGGUCUAUUGUCCUCAUACCACCUUCAUUAGAUCAUAGAGUCAUACAGGAAAGAAAGAAUCCCUUUGUUCCAACAAGCUCAUGCUGACAAGGUUUCCCAAACUAAACUAGUCCCACUUGCCUGCAUUUGGCCCAUAUCCCUCUUAACCUUGACCAUUCAUUACCUAUCCAAAUAUUUCUUAAAUGCUGUAACUUUUACCUCAUCAACAUGUCCUUUAGCAGUUCAUUUCACAUACAAACCACACUCUGAAAAAGUUGCUCCUCUGUUCCCUUUUAAAUCUUUCUCUCACCUUUAAAAUAUGCCCCCUAGUCACCUUAUCCAUGUCCCUCAUGAUUUUUAUAAACCUCUAUAAGGUCCCCCUUCAACCUUUUACACUUAAGAGGAAAAAAGUCCCAGCCAAUCCUUCUCACUCAAACCCUCCAAUCCUAGCAACAAAAUGGUAAAUCUUUUCUAAACCCUGUCCAGUUUAUGGUAGGGUGACUAGAACCAUACAGAGUAGUCCAAAAGUGGAUCAUGUUUAUUUCUAGCUGACUAGGUUUCUGUGAAACACCUUGGGAUGUUUAGUAUUCUAAAAUGCUAUAUAAAUGUAGGUUGUUCUUGAAUUGCACAUUGAAUGGGCCAUUUCUUUAAAAUACUCAGCAUCUGAUUUGUUUUAAAAUGUUCACUUUUUUGCAGGCAGAUGGCAGCAUAAUACAGAAGAAUAGAAUGAGAAGUUAUUCACUAUCAACACCAGCUUAAUGAUUUGUUAAAUGUCUCUUCUACAGAUUUUCACUAAUACUUUGAUUUAUAGGUUGGAUAUCACAUCUAUUACUAUUUUAAUAGUUCACAUGCUUUAUUCUAACAUUUUUCUGUUAUCUGUCUUCAAAGAAGACAUUAAUUAUUUCAAGUGGAGACACUCAUUUUCAUUGUAGGAUGUAUUUGCAAUAGCUGGUUUUUAGAAUACAAGCUUAAUCACUGUUUAUUGUAGAACAAAUGUUUCCUUGUUCUAAUUCUUUCAAUAAAUACAUGUUAGCCAUAGUGUGCAUGUAGUUACAAAUAACAAGGAAGAUCUAUGGGAAAGAGUAGCUAUAAGACAUCUGCAGUUAUAAGAGACUAAGUCAUUUCAUGACAUUCAGGUGUACAAGGCUGUCGAGUAUUGAAGCACUGUAGAUCAGCUCCUUAUGGUGGUUAAAAAAUGGAUACUAAUAAAUUGAUCCGUCUCAUUUAGGUUGAUUUUAAA